CACGUAGUUAGCCGUGACUUUCUCACAGGGUACCGUCACUGCCUUCUUCCCCUGCGACAACAGUUUACAAUCCGAAGACCUUCUUCCUGCACGCGGCGUUGCUGCGUCAGGGUUGCCCCCAUUGCGCAAUAUUCCCCACUGCUGCCUCCCGUAGGAGUCUGGGCCGUGUCUCAGUCCCAAUGCGGCCGAUCAACCUCUCAGUUCGGCUACAGAUCGUCGCCUUGGUGAGCCGUUACCUCACCAACCAGCUAAUCUGACGCGAGUCCAUCCAUAAGCGAUAAAUCUUUCAAAAUUCUAUGAUGCCAUAAAAAUUUCAAUAUGCGGUAUUAGUCCUCGUUUCCAAGGAUUAUCCCCCUCUUAUGGGCAGGUUACUCACGCGUUACUCGCCCGUCCGCCACUUUCCACCCAACAGUUCACCCGAAGGGACUCACAAAUGGGUUUCUCGUUCGACUUGCAUGUGUUAGGCACGCCGCAGCGUCGUCUGAGCAGACUCGAAACUACU
rnacentral:rRNA from 1 species